rnacentral:rRNA from 1 species
GACGAACGCUGGCGGCGUGCUUAACACAUGCAAGUCGAACGGUGAAGCGCCUUCCUUUUUGGUGGGUGUGUAUGAGUGGCGAACUGGUGAUUAACACGUGAGUAACCUGCCCCCUUCUUCUGGAUAACCGCAUGAAAGUGUUGCUAAUACGGGAUAUUCUGGGUCUGUCGCAUGAUGGGUCUGGGAAAGAUAUUGUUUCGGUGGGGGAUGUGCUCGCGGCCUAUCAGCUUGUUGGUGGUGUGAUGGCCUACCAAGGCGGUGUCGGGUAGCCGGCCUGGGAGGGUGGAAGGUAAGACAGGGAAAGAGACACGGACAAGAAUACGACGGGAGGCAGCAGGGAGGAAGAGAGGACAAGGGGAGAAAGCAUGAUGCAGCGACGCGGCGUGAGGGAUGGAGGCCUUCGGGUUGUGAACCUCUUUCGCCAGUGAAGCAGGACUGCCUCGUUUGUGGGUGGGUUGACGGUAGCUGGAUAAGAAGCGCCGGCUAACUACGUG